UCGGUUGAUCCUGCCGGACCUGACUGCUAUCGGAUUGAUACUAAGCCAUGCGAGUCAUUGUAGUAAUACAAGGCAGACGGCUCAGUAACGCGUAGUCAACCUACCCUAUGGACGGGGAUAACCUCGGGAAACUGAGAAUAAUACCCGAUAGAACAUUAUGCCUGGAAUGGUUUAUGUUUCAAAUAAUUUAUUGCCGUAGGAUGGGACUGCGGCCUAUCAGUUUGUUGGUGAGGUAAUGGCCCACCAAGACUAUUACAGGUACGGGCUCUGAGAGGAGUAGCCCGGAGAUGGGUACUGAGACACGGACCCAGGCCCUAUGGGGCGCAGCAGGCGAGAAAACUUUGCAAUGUGCGAAAGCACGACAAGGUUAAUCCGAGUGGUUUCUGCUAAAGGAACCUUUUGUCAGUCCUAGAAACACUGGUGAAUAAGGGGUGGGCAAGUUCUGGUGUCAGCCGCCGCGGUAAAACCAGCACCUCAAGUGGUCAGGAUGAUUAUUGGGCCUAAAGCAUCCGUAGCCUGCUUUGUAAGUUUUCGGUUAAAUCCAUACGCUCAACGUAUGGGCUGCCGGGAAUACUGCAAAGCUAGGGAGUGGGAGAGGUAGACGGUACUCGGUAGGAAGGGGUAAAAUCCUUUGAUCUAUUGAUGACCACCUGUGGCGAAGGCGGUCUACCAGAACACGUCCGANGGUGAGGGAUGAAAGCUGGGGGAGCAAACCGGAUUAGAUACCCGGGUAGUCCCAGCUGUAAACUAUGCAAACUCAGUGAUGCAUUGGCUUGAUGCCAAUGCAGUGNUGCAGGGAAGCCGUUAAGUUU
rnacentral:rRNA from 1 species